UAAUCUUCUCUAAUUUUUUCCAUUGUGGUUUUCAGAGAAAAACAGUCACAGGAAGAGGGAGAGAGAAUAAGAAAAUUAUCAACCAUUUCUUUCUGUCUCUGUCAAUCGCAUUUUGAAAAAAGAAAAGAGAAAGAUUUACUAUAGAAUUAAGACGUACUAUGUACAGAUAAUAAUCCCUCUGAUGAAUCAUUAUUUACAGCAAAUGCACACUAGUAAAAAAAAGAUUGAAAGAGAUCAAAAAAGGAAGACACAUAUGGUAAACACUGCUGUCAGCUGUCAUCCAACAGAAAACCAGGCUCAUAAAAACAUCACAGUGUAUUCUCCUCGGACUUAUUCAACAUCGCUGGUAACUUCUGCCUCUUCUCCAAAGUCCAAAUGACCACAAAAGGCGAACAUUUUGAUUCAGUUCAUGACAUGGAGGCAGCCACAACAGCACAACUGAAGAGACUCAGAUAAAGGAUUUCCAGAUUUGCUUCAAAAAUAUUCAGUAUGACAGGGGGCAGCUUUCUUUCUACACUCUGUAUUCAUCUGAAUGGAGCUUUCUGCAGUACCUGGAAGCCUCCUUCAUGCGGUCAGUUGGUACGCCCUCACACGCCUCAGUUGUGACUCAUGCGGGCCACCUCAUGGGCCUCUCCUGCACCUUUCCUAUCUGCCUGUCCUUUCAAGCUUUAAAAUGAAGGAGACAAAAGAUGCCAUGAAGAGAACAGCUUUGCUCUCCCAUGCCUUUCCACCGUUAUGAAUCUAGCUGACCAUUGACUGAAUCCCUGAAACUAUGAGCAACAGCAAACAUGUAUUUCUUUAAUUUGUGGGUGUUGUAUAUUUUGUCCCAAUGAUGAAAAUAUUGAACAAUACAAAAGAGAUAUGUGAACCAAGAUAGCUCUAGGUCUUACAUUUGGAAUCCGAGGACUGAGACUCACUAGUUAUUAUAUCUCAGCUGGUCUCAUUUCUGUUUCAACAUGCAGAAAGACUCUUCUAAAAAAAAGAGAAGAUGGCCUAAGCUAGUAUGCCUCAGCUUAGGAAACUAUGAGGAAAAGAGAAAUUCAGAGUCUAGCCCCAUUAGAAAUAUUUUAGGGAAGGUCUGAUGGAGGACUUAGCCUGGAUCACAUGACAAUUUCUGAGCUAAUUACUGAGCUAAGAAGUAGGACAGAGACAAAAAUUAGUACUAAAACAGAAAGGCAUCAACGAGGGACAUCAGAGGUGAGGACAAAGGAAUCAGAGAGACUCCAAAGAGAUCAAGGAGCAACUAUUUAUUUUAAUUUGGCUUAACUGUCUUACACCUCACCCAAAUUCUUAAAAAUAUAUAUGAUUUUUCUGUUGAUGGGAUAAAGAGGGACAUUUGGAAGUGGACAAUUCUAAUAUGUGGUUCAGGAUAUUUAGAAAUGUUCAUUUUGUUUUGUUUUCUCUAAGAAAUGCAUCAUAUGAGUUAUAUAAAGGCAUUCAUUCAUUUAAUAAAUUUUAUUAGGUAUCAAAAAUGUAAAUAUUAGCUAGAACUGUGACUUACUGGUAUUAUGUGUCACCCAUCCGAAAAGUCUAGUCUUAAGUGAUUUCCUGGGUAACCUACUCCAACCUUCCCUUCCUGUAGGAAUCACUCCUGCUCUUCUCUGACAACAAACUGAGCCUCUACUCAAAUGUGGUUACUCACUACUUUUCAAAAAACAAACACAAGACAAAACUAUUGUAUUAUUGGACAGCUAUAAUUACUAAGGACAUUCAUAUUUUAUGGUGAAUCUAAGUUUGCCUUCUUAUCACCAGUUCCUGUGGUUUUAUUUUUGUUGUUGUUUGUUUGUUUGUUUUGUGGUACUGGGGAUUGAACUCACAACCUUGCGCUUGCCAAGCAGGCACUUAUGCCACUGAACUAAAUUCCCAGCCCUCCCGUGAAUUAUUUUCUAAACUACAUCAGCCCUAUCUCCCACAUGGUUGCAUUUUGAGUACAGUACGUGAAAGCAGCAACCUUGGGUUCCCAUCUCUUUUAAAGGCUAAGCAUUUUCACAUCUUACUACCACAGAAAACUAUAAAAAUUUAUGACUGAUGAGUAGAAAAGCUGUUUUUCUACUACAAAAAUUUUUAAACAACAUCAGUGUUUAAAAGGUUAACAUUUGUGAUCUUCAUUAUUUUUGUGUUUUUUAAGCCAGUGAGGCAGGCACUGAUUUAUAAGUUCUAGGAGACAACUUUGUGUGAGGCUACUUACAAAAGCACAUUCUUUGACUAACAUGUGCCCCAGCUCCUGGCCAGUACAUACAUGGGGAAUAUAUCUAUAUCUACCCACAUUUGUAUCAUCUAUAUCCGUAUCUACAUUUAUCUCUAUCUCUAUAUUUAUAUCUGUAUAUCUAUGUGUUUGGGGAUUUGAAGAUGAAGAUGUUACACAAACUAUCUACUUAAAUUAUUGAAUGUCUCUUCUACAUACAGUAAAUAUGUUACAGUUUAAUUCAGAGGAAAAAAAUUGGUCAUUGCUCAUAUUCCUGGUGCUUGUCUUGUUUUCCAUAUCACAUCAAUUCCAGAAAAGUAAUUACCCUUCCCUAGGUCAACAAAACUUGAUAAAUUGUAAAAGCCCUCCAGUGGGAGAAUUCCUGUCACCUAGGUGUAGUCAUAAAUCAACUAGGCAAUCCCAUCUAAGAGUCACUUCAUUAUGGAAUGUGUACAGAGAAAAUGACUUUCUACAGUAGCAUUGCUUACUUAGGCAGUAAUGGAUAUUACAGCAAUAUGGAAAACAUGGCCUCACAGCAAUAUUGCUUCCAUUGAUGUGUAAUUGGCACUUAAAACAUAGUAAUUUGGGAAACCAUAUUUGAAUAUUUUUUCUUCAGCACACAUUUGUAUCUAGCCUGCAUGAGCACCUUUUAUUUGAUGCUUAAUAAAGCACAAGAGGGCUCCCUAAGUGUGUGAUCUUCCCCAGUGUCACUCCAGCCAUGGCCCCUGCCUGGAACACCAGGCUUCCUCACCUAUCUCCAAGUCUCAUGCUCCUGCAAACAUCUCAGUUUGGAUUAUUCUAAAUACAUACCUUCCUGGUGACUUAUGAACAGAGCUCAAAAUCCUAACUGUGCCUCUUGAACUACCUGUUUGUUAUGAUUCCAUCCUUAUCUCUGGAGGUGGCUCUCAACAGAGGACCAGAAGAAAGAGCCUGAACCAGCCAGAAGGGACAUGGAGUCAGCUUGACUUUGCACAGGGGAUAAGCCUUGAUCACUUGCUGAAGGUGGUGUGAAUGGGCUCCUCUAUUGCUUUUCUACGUUGCCAAGGCUGGGUCCCUUCAGCUCCCUCUAUUCUGUGAUGACAGACUCAUAGACAGAAGAAUAGAGUACGAUUUCCUGGAGAAGAAGUAUCUACAAAAAUCAUUUGCAAUUCUUCUUCAAAGGAUAUCUGUCCCAUAUUAUCUAUUUUUAAUUUAGCUUUUAUUUAUAUUGGAAUAGACUUAUGAAUGUUUAAUCUGA